ensembl:snRNA U6 U6 spliceosomal RNA
GUGCUGGCUUUGGCAGCACAUGUACUAAAACUGGAACAAUAGAAGAUUAGUAUGGCCCCUGGGCAAGGAUGACACCCAAAUUCGUGAAGCAUUCCAUAUUAAA